rnacentral:rRNA from 1 species
CUAUUGUAAUGAUGAAGGACGUCUCAUAACGCGAAAAGCAGUAAAAAUGGUCGCCCCUGCAAUCUUGGUAUCCGAACACAACGGUGUAGUCUUCUGGACUUCAUCAAUCGCUCCGUAUGACUUUCUGACAAUUUGUCUUGCAACAGGCUAUUAAAGCCUUGGCGCCUUUGAGUUGAUAAAUAAUGAACCAGCAACUCACAAGCCUAGUGAUCGGAGUGAUUGAAAAUUACCGACUGAAUUUAAGCAUAUUAUUAAGUCGAGGAAUAAGAAUCAAAAGAGAUUUCCUUAUUAGCGGCGAGCGAAAAGGAAUUUGAUCGAAGCGUAAAUCAUAUUUUGAAUUGUACGCGGCGUUGUAACAUCGAAUUUUGAGGAUCAGUGAACUGGUUGAAUACGGUGCUGAGACGGAUGAAAGCUCCUCACCUGCUCCGAUUAAUUUGAUUAUUCGUCUAAAAGAGUAGCGCUCCUUGAUAGUGGAGUGUGACAGGUGGUAAUCUUCACCGAAAUCUCAAUACUAACAAUAGACCGAUAGCGAACAAGUACCAUGAGGGAAAAUUGAAAAGCACUUCGUAAGGAGAGUUAAAAGACCUGAACUCAUAUACAAGGAAGCUUAUGUAUGUCGCUAACCACUUUUCAUUGACGACUUGAUGAUUCGUGUUGACAUGCAGAAGACCCGUCUUGAAACACGGACCGAGGAGUUGGUCUCAUUUGCGAGUAUAACGAUCGAAAUCGGUAUGCGAAGAGAAAUCAAUAUGUGUGAUAUUUGCUACACUGGCCGGGGAAACUCGUGUCCGAGCAGAUGUGAUCAGACCCGAAAGAUGGUGAUCUAUGCCUGGAUAGGGUGAAGCCAGGGGAAACUCUGGUGGAAGCUCUUAGCGAUACUGACGUGCAAAUCGUUCGUAAAAUCUAGGUAUAGGGGCGAAAGACUAAUCGAACCAUCUAGUAGCUGGUUCCCUCCGAAGUUUCCCUCAGGAUAGCUGGAAGUAUAAGAGUUGCAUCCGGUAAAGCGAAUGAUUAGAGGACUCGGGAGUCAUAGUACUCUCGGCCUAUUCUCAAACUCAGAAUGGAUGCGCAUAUAUGCUUAUUAAGUUAGUGUAUGUGAUGAAUCUUGCUUCUUAGUGGGCCAUUUUUGGUAAGCAGAACUGGCGAUGAGGGAUGCUCCUAACGUGCGGCGAAGGUGCCAAAGAGUUGCUGAUCAGAUACCACAAAAGGUGUUAUUUCAUUGAAACAGCAGGGCGGUGGUCAUGGAAGUCGAAAUCCGCUAAGGAGUGUGUAACAACUCACCUACCGAAUGAAGUAGCCCUGAAAAUGGAUGGCGCUCAAGCAACUCACCGCUACCGCACCAACGAUUAAAUCUAAUCGUUGUGUAGGAGGGCGUGAGAAUAGCGUUGAAAAGCAAUACGUGAGUUUGCUUGGAGCUGUUUUCAGUGCAGAUCUUGGUGUUAGUAGCAACUAGUCGUGUGUAAUACGUGACAACUGUCGUGGAUAAGGGUUCCGAGUAAACAGUAUUUGUCCUCGGGUUAGUCGGUCCUAAGGGGGAGUCAAAUUGGCUUUGAACAACAUAUUAUGUUGGCCCCGAAAGGGAAAAAGGUUAAAAUUCCUUUUCUUGAUUUUAAUCAGAAUGGUGACAUAAUAUCAAUCGACCAAUCAAGCGGUUCUCCUUGGAGCGUCUUCUCAGCUCUCUGAUAGUCGUAUGCUCACGAAUGGGAUUGACCCGCGACCGAGCUGUCCGACUACAUAGAUUUCCCAACGGGAAAUUAGGUAGUAACCGAAUGAUCCAUGAAAAGUCGAUUGAACAAGAUUGAAAUCAAUCCGUACCCUAAACCGCAUCAGGUCUCUCGGGUUAAUAGCCCCAAGUUUGAUAGGAGAAUGUGUGUGAGGGAAGUCGGCAAAUUGGAUCUGUAACUUUGGAAAAAAGGUUGGCUCUGGGAGUCAGUUCACCAAUCGCUUCGGUGGUUGCUCGAACCUUCGGGUUGUGAACAGCUUGACAACCCCAGAACUGGUGUUGACUAGAGGAAUCUGACUGUUUAAUUAAAACAAAGCAUUACGAUAAGCCCCAAGGCUAUACACGCAAUGUGAUUUCUGCCCAGUGCUCUGAAUGUCAUUGUGAUGGAAUUCGUAUAAGCGCGGGUAAACGGCGGGAGUAACUAUGACUCUCUUAAGGUAGCCAAAUGCCUCGUCGUCUAAUUAAUGACGCGCAUGAAUGGAUCAACGAGAUUCCUACUGUCCCCACUCACCACCUAGCGAAACCACAGCCAAGGGAAUGGGCUUGGCAAAAUAAGCGGGGAAAGAAGACCCUGUUGAGCUUGACUCUAGUUUGAUUUUGUGGAGUGACUUAUGAGGCGUAGAAUACGUGGGAGCACUUGUGCGAGCUUGAAAUACCACGACUCUUAAUGUCGCUCUGCUUACCCGAUAAUAUGAAAACUGCAUUGCAGCAUGAAAUCUAAAGUCAUUUGAUGGUCGAUUCAUUGCGGGAACAGAAUCAGAUGGGGAGUUUGGCUGGGGCGGCACAUCUGCUAAACUGCAACGCAGAUGCCCUAAGGUUAACUCAAAGAGAACAGAAAUCUCUUGUAGACUGAAAGGGGAAAAGUUAGCUUGAUUCUGAUUUCCAGUAAUAAUAAGAACUGCGAAAGCAUGGCCUAUCGAUCCUUUAAGCCCAGGUUGAUUCUGGCUAGAGGUGACAGAAAAGUUACCACAGGGAUAACUGGCUUGUGGCAGCCAAGCGCUCAUAGCGACGUUGCUUUUUGAUCCUUCGAUGUCGGCUCUUCCUAUCAUUGAGACGCAGAAGUCGCAAAGUGUCGGAUUGUUCACCCGUUAAUAGGGAACGUGAGCUGGGUUUAGACCGUCGUGAGACAGGUUAGUUUUACCCUACUUAUAUACGCGUAGCGAGAGUAGAGCAACCUAGUACGAGAGGAACAGUUGCUCCAAGUCACUGGUAGAGUGGUUGGCUGAACAGCCAGUGCUGCUAAGCUACAUUUGCGGGAUAAUGGCUGAACGCCUCUAAGCCAAAAACCCAGCUUGAAGCUACGUUUGAAAAUACUUUUACCAAUUUAAUAUAUUGUGAAAGGAAAAGUGUUUCUUUAUAUGACUGACAGACGAUCAGAGUGCAAAUUGCAGUUGUAAUUCAGAAAGUAGACCUUGUGCUACGAUCUAUUGAAACGAACAAUUUGC